CACGUAGGGCGCAAGCGUUGUCCGGAAUUAUUGGGCGUAAAGAGCUCGUAGGCGGUCUGUUGCGUCCGCUGUGAAAACUCGGGGCUUAACCCCGAGCCUGCAGUGGAUACGGGCAGACUAGAGGUAGGUAGGGGAGAAUGGAAUUCCCGGUGUAGCGGUGAAAUGCGCAGAUAUCGGGAGGAACACCGGUGGCGAAGGCGGUUCUCUGGGACGGUACUGACGCUGAGACGCGAAAGCGUGGGGAGCAAACAGG
rnacentral:rRNA from 1 species